UGUUCCGAUUAUGUUGGAUUAUGGCCGAGGUGUUCCGAUUUGGUCAAUCUAAUUAGACAAAACGAAAAUAUCAAUUUCGGAAAAUAAGAAUAGCAAAACAGUAUACUGUGUCAUCGUCAACACGGGUGGCAAGCAGCAAGGACAUAUUUUUGCUGGACAGAUUUUUCAUUAAAUAUGGAAUUCAAAAUUCUGUACGUAGUUUUACUGCUUCUGCUUGGAUUUGAAGGGACGGAUUCGAUUGUGAAUGGGAUCCCGUAUAUUAAAGAUUGUCCAGACUUCGAUGACCAUGGCAGCUGGACAGUAAGUAACACAGAUGUACACCGUAGGUGCAUUCUGAAGUGUAACCAGGGAUACACACCAAACGCCUGUCACGUGAUAUAUCUUCAUAGAGAUCGCUCGAACUAUGCACACACACCACAUUGCGUCAAAAAACCAAGUUGGGGUCAAGCAUCGAGAGCCGGGGCGGGCGUUGCCGCUCCUGCACCCAUUGCAGCGUCUGACCGACCUCCAACGCCAAAGGCUCCCCGAGCUCCCCUGAAACAUGAAGCCAUGGUAAAUACAGCGAGCUCUUCUAUUUUAAACGUUUGCCACCCUGUAAUGUGUUUCCAUGGUGUGAGGUUUGACAAAAGUUCUCAUUAAAAGGGGCGAGCUUUGCCAAUUGAUCUCUGGUUGCCGGAGAUUAAUCCGGCUCAACCUUCACCUACACCUACACCAGAACCGCCUGAUCUUGGUGCUGAUUUACCAGAACCAAACCUGUGUUAUUGUCAGCAUUGAAACAGGAAGAUACACCGGGGACGAGGUGUAGAGCUCCAGCUGGUUUGAAUGUGUCAGCAACCUGUGUUACUUUAACGCAUUGAUUUAUUGGAGUAAUUCAAGUGCUGUUAGGAUAAAAUAAUAGUUCUAUAAAUAGUAAUGUAUCCUACAAUUCUUUAUACGUAUCCUGCUUUUUUACUUCACAUAUUCAUUCGAGCUUUUUUUAUUAAUCUUGACAUGCAUAUAUGCGUUUAUCAUUUUUCUUGUUAUAUGUAGUCUGCAUAUUAUGAGAAAUAAUUAUGUAGUUUUUCAUAUAAAUACCAAUUCAAAGGAACUUGCUAGUUUGUUGAAGUCAUCAAGUCUCCUUUUAUAAUUCAUUUUAUACAGUAGAACUAGCAUUCAGCAAAAUUUGAAAAUAAAAAUAAAAAAAAUAAUGAGCGAACAUAAUGAUAAAAAAUCCUUUAGGUGUACAAGUUUAUAUAGUAAAAGCCCCAGGGCAUGGCCAUAUACGGUCCAAGGAAUAUUGUUUAAAACAACAUUUGAUGGCGUAUGGUUAAAAUAGUUUAGAGCUUUUAUACAGAGGACGGUUAAUGUGGUGCUCUUGCUAUAGGCCCAGGAGACUGUUGACCUCACAAACACUUGCUCCUGAAAAUCUAGCCAUUUUACUGGAGAGCAACAGGUAACCAUUCUUUAUAAAGAGUCAUAGCAGCAAAAAUCUGUAUUUUAAUAAUCUGCGAAACAUGGCUGACUCGUGGAAUAUGUUGAUCAAGCAUCGUCGUUGUCAUGGUCAGUGAUUGACCCCUAUUGUGAUUGGGAUCAAAAUAUCAUGGUCAAAGUCAUUGGAGACGUUGAAUUCUUAUUUAUUGCGGGUCGACUUUGUUCUGAUAUUCAAGUUUUUAAAAUGAAAUAAAAUUUCUUUGUCUUUGUCUGAAAUGUAACA